rnacentral:rRNA from 1 species
GACGAACGCUGGCGGCGUGCUUAACACAUGCAAGUCGAACGGAAAGGCCCUGCUUUUGUUGGGUGCUCGAGUGCCGAACGCGUGAGUAACACGUGAGUAUCCCGCCCUUGACUUUGUGAUAUCUUCAGGAAACUGGGGCUAAUACCGCAUAUGAGCUCCUGCUGCAUGGUGGUGGUUGGAGAGUUUCGGCGGUUGUGUAUGUACUCGCGGGUUAUCAGCUUGUUGGUGGGGUAGUGGCUUACAAGGGAUUGGACGGGUAGCCGGCCUGGCAGGGUGACCGGGCACAUUGGGCCAGGGGAACGGCCCAGACGGCUACGGGAGGAAGGAGCGGGAGUAUUGCACAAUGGGCGGAAGCGUGAGGUAGCAACGCCGCGUGCGGGAUGACGGCCUUCGAGUUGUGAACCGCUGUGGCCGGUGACGAAGCGGGAGUGACGGUAAUGGGUAAAGAAGCACCGGCUAACUACGUG